rnacentral:rRNA from 1 species
AACGCGAAGAACCUUACCUGGUCUUGACAUCCACGGAAGUUUUCAGAGAUGAGAAUGUGCCUUCGGGAACCGUGAGACAGGUGCUGCAUGGCUGUCGUCAGCUCGUGUUGUGAAAUGUUGGGUUAAGUCCCGCAACGAGCGCAACCCUUAUCCUUUGUUGCCAGCGGUCCGGCCGGGAACUCAAAGGAGACUGCCAGUGAUAAACUGGAGGAAGGUGGGGAUGACGUCAAGUCAUCAUGGCCCUUACGACCAGGGCUACACACGUGCUACAAUGGCGCAUACAAAGAGAAGCGACCUCGCGAGAGCAAGCGGACCUCAUAAAGUGCGUCGUAGUCCGGAUUGGAGUCCGCAACUCGACUCCAUGAAGUCGGAAUCGCUAGUAAUCGUGGAUCAGAAUGCCACGGUGAAUACGUUCCCGGGCCUUGUACACACCG